rnacentral:rRNA from 1 species
GAUGAACGCUGGCGGCGUGCCUAAUACAUGCAAGUCGAGCGAACAGACGAGGAGCUUGCUCCUCUGACGUUAGCGGCGGACGGGUGAGUAACACGUGGAUAACCUACCUAUAAGACUGGGAUAACUUCGGGACACCGGAGCUAAUACCGGAUAAUAUAUUGAACCGCUUGGUUCAAUAGUGAAAGACGGUUUUGCUGUCACUUAUAGAUGGAUCCGCGCCGCAUUAGCUAGUUGGUAAGGUAACGGCUUACAAAGGCAACGAUGCGUAGCCGACCUGAGAGGGUGAUCGUCCACACUGUAACUGAGACACGGUCCAGACUCCUACGGGAUGCAGCAGUAGGCAAUCUUCCGCAAUGGUCGAAAGCCUGACGGUGCAACGCCGCGUGAGUGAUGAAGGUCUUCGGAUCGUAAAACUCUGUUAUUAGGGAAGAACAAAUGUGUAAGUAACUAUGCACGUCUUGACGGUACCUAAUCAGAAAGCCACGGCUAACUACGUG